UUCACGCUCGAUCCUGAACCUUUUGCACUGAUAUGGAUUUCUUUCUUAGCGAUCUGGCCACUUGGAAGCAUCCUUACGUGUCUCUCUUUUCUUUGUCUCUCCCCGACCUCCCCUCUCCUCUACAUCUUUGUCCUCCCAAGGACCAUAUUUGGUUUUGGUUUGAUCUACAAAAAGAAGUUGAGAGAGCACAAUCAUGGAUUUUUGACAUAUUCAGUCUCGGGGUGGUAUUGGAAGUCGGACCAUGAAAGAGGGAGUUUUGUUGAUGAUCUGAUGGUUAUUCCAAAGAGAAUCUCAGCGAUUUGUAUUUCCUAACUUAUUGAUGAACUUUCAGAUGCAUUUGUUGUAAGAGACAGUUUACAAAGAUCAAAUCAUAUGAUUACUCGAGUAUUAAUAGUAUCAUAGCUCCUCUGUUUAAGAUACUUUUGUUGCUUUGUUUCCUGAAUUUGCAAAUUGGUUUCUUAUUCAUCUUCAUUGUAGAUAUUCUACAA